UACGUAGGGCGCAAGCGUUUGUCCGGAAUUAUUGGGCGUAAAGAGCUCGUAGGCGGUUUGUCGCGUCUGCUGUGAAAUCCCGAGGCUCAACCUCGGGCUUGCAGUGGGUACGGGCAGACUAGAGUGCGGUAGGGGAGACUGGAAUUCCUGGUGUAGCGGUGGAAUGCGCAGAUAUCAGGAGGAACACCGAUGGCGAAGGCAGGUCUCUGGGCCGCAACUGACGCUGGAG
rnacentral:rRNA from 1 species